ensembl:snRNA U6 U6 spliceosomal RNA
GUGCUCACUUUAGCAGUACAUAUAUUAAAAUUGCAAUGAUACAAAGAAGAUUAACAUGGCCCCUGAGCAAGAAUGACACACAAAUUAGUGAAGCAUUCCAUAUUUUU